rnacentral:lncRNA from 1 species
CCUUUUUCUUUUCAAGAGUAGAUUUAAUAAUCUACCUUUUUAUCCUAUCAUAUCUGUAUCCUUUUUUUUCAAAACAAAAUCCUUCAAUCUACUGUCCUUUCUUCAACUUUCUUCGUGACCAUAACCAACAACAUUUUGUAACCAAUAUGUUUAAACGAUGACAAAUAUCCAUUACCCAUUGAAUGUUAAAAAACCACCCACCCCACCUCUUGGGAAUGUGGGGGUUGUUUUCUUAAAGUCACUUCCUGCUGUCUGCAGGCAACAAACGAUAUCUUUAGGGGAUCCUAGUCCGAUAGAUCAUCUUUGCUGGUCACCUCGAAGUUGUUCUGAGAAGUUUGUAGUCCAAGGCUGAUCUUUAGUUAGAAUUGUUCAGCUUAAUGCUGGAAAAUUGUCAUUGUAGGGCUCUUCCUCUUCCUUUUCCUCCUCCUCCUCCUUCUUUGAGACAGGGUUUCUCUGUCUAGUUUAACAGUUCUGGCUGUCCUGAAACUCGCUUUGUAGACCAGGCAGCUUCUGCCUCCCUAGUGGUGGGAUUAAAGGUCUGACUUCUAAGGCUUGUAGCUUGUGGCUGACUUUGCUUUUCUGAAUCCUCAGUCAAGCUUUAAUAAAUCAUAAAUAAUAUAUCACUACAGUACCCCACUCUGCCCAGGUGAUAUUUGGAAAGUUGUUGAAUCCUUCUGGGCCUCAGUAGGACAAUAAUGACUUCAGCAUUAUAUGGGGACUUAUCCUCAUAGGGUUGUUAUAAACCAAAUGAGAGAAUAGGCACAAAGCACUUUACGUAGUGCCCAAUAUAUAUAUGGAGAGCUACUUUUCAUUCACUAAAACAAAAUACACGAGAUAAUUAACUUAUAAAGAGGAAAGGUGGGGAAUGUGGUUUAGUUGACUUAGUAUGCACAAAACCUGGGUUUGACUGCCAUUACAGCAUAAAACCAGGUCUCCUGUUUAUGUAUGUCUGUCUGUAAAACAGCCGAACUAGAAUGGAAGCAGGAGGAUCAGAACUUUGAGGUUAUCUUUGGUUCUACAGCAACUUUGAGGCCAAGUUGGAUGCAUGAAACCAUGUCCUUAAAAAAAGGAAAGGCUGGAGCUAGAGAGAUGGUUCAGUGAUUAAGAGCACACACUGUUCUUCCUGAGGACCUGAGUUCAAUUCCCAGCACCCACAUCUCACAUCAGGUGGCUCACAACUGCCUGUAACUCCAGCUCCAGGGGUCUCUCACACCUCUACCCUCUGUGGGUACUUCAUUCAUACACACAUACCCAUCCCCCACAUACAUAUACUUAACAUAAUAGAAAUAAAAAGCAUGGGCAGGGGGCGGGGCUAGCUAAGAAUGGUAGUGCACACUUCUAAUCCAGCACUGGAGGCUGAGGCAGGAAGGUCAUGAGUUUGAGACAGAAUGGAGAUAUCCAGUGAGGCUUGGAGAAUAGAACAAGAAACAAAGAGAAAAGAAGAAGGGUUUGAGACUUCGAAAUUCCUUUGAAGACACACUUCUGGAGACCUAAGGACCUUCUGAAGAUCUACUUCCUGAAGGUUCCAUCACUUCCUAGUAGGACCCUACCCUGUGAACCAAGCCUUUAACUUGGGGCCUUUGGGGGACAGUCAAUGUGUAAACUCUAGCACACAGUCAGUGAUCACUUAAUAGUGGGUAUCCUUCAUGCCACUCUGUCUUCUCAGGGCUGGAGAACACCUUGGGAUUCAUAUGGUGUGAUUCAGCCUGGCUCUUAGAGUUGCAGGUAUAGACAUGUUUAGUAAUUUGAUAUCUUUUGUCUCCGAUAAAAUCUAGUACCUGUAAAUGUCUUCUUGGACGAACACAUGUAUUGGUUUAAAUCUGGAAUGUCCCAAAUAGGCUCAUGGUCUCAAUAUUUGGCCUCCAGCUUGUGUUAAAAUUUUGAAGACUGUGAAGCCUUUAUGAGGUGGGAGCUGGCUGGUGGAAGCAGGGUAUGAAGCUUUUCAGAGUGUAAACCAUCUAGCACUUUCUGUUUCCUGGCUCAUCCCCUUGCGAGGGGCCUCCAUUGCAUGCUCUUUGUUCUGAGUGCUACAAGGCUUUCUCUGCCAUGAACUAAAAUCUCUCUGGCAGAGUAAACCUCUCUUGUUUCUGUCACAGUGACAUGGGACAUACAGAAAAUUAGUAUUGGGAGUGGGACUGUUGCUAUAGGAAACCCAGGUAUGUGAUUCUUAAUCUUUUAGAAGUGGUUUUCAGAAGGACCACGUAAGAGCGGAGAUUCGGACUGGAGAAGCUCACAGAUGCUGUAAGUAGAGCUUAUUGUGCAAAUCUGGUGGCCUUCUGAAGACCAACCUGUGGCAGACAUGCACACUGUAGGGUUUAUACUCAUGUGUUUUCAAAUGGGAACACAGAUCUUACUGAAAAUUGAUGUUGCAUUCUGGCAAAAAUCUGGCCACGCUCUGCCUAUAGUCUAAACAUUUGAGUGAGGCCGGAUUCAAGAAUAAAAGAUUAAUUUAUUUGGUGGAUGAAAUUGCAUGACUGCAUAGCAUCCAGGCUGAGGAUGCUUUUAGCUAGAUUUGCAAAUGAGAUCUAGAGCAAAAGGAUAUGGAAAAUGUAGUUUGGUGAGUGAGGCGGUGAAAGUUUGUUUACAGUGUGGGCUGCUAAAGAACUCAACCAUGAAGAAAACCCACAUUGGGUAGCUCACAACUGCCUGGAAGUCCAGUUGCAGCAGGAUCCAGUGCCUCUAGCUUCUUUGGCACCUGUUCUCUUGUUCGUACGUACAUCUACUCACACACAUAUGAACAUUAAAAAUAAAAAAAUAGACCUUAAAGAAAGAAGCCCCAAAUUUCACCCAAACAACAGGUGCUUUGAGGGCCCAUCCAUCAAAGGAUUAAGAAGCAAAAAUGCAAAUUUCACAUGGAAGACUUCAGCAGAGAAUUCCUGAAAAUGUAAGGCACCUAGGAUGUCCUGCUUGCAGACAGCCAUCUAGAGAAGUGCUUGCCCAGAUUUGGUGGUUCGGGCAUUCAAAGGCCACUGGAGUCAUGGUCCAAAGGUACCAGGCUACAUCUUGAGAUGUGGUGAUGCUCUAGUUUCUGUCUAGCUCUUUCUGCUUCUUGAUGUACUGAGAUGUGAGUCUUAGCCACAUGCUUCCACUGCUGUGAGCACAGCUGUGUCUUCUCUGCCGUGACGGACAGAAAUGCCUCUGAAACCACAAGCUCAAAUAAAUAUUUCCUCAUUUACGCUGUGUCUGUUGGGUAAUAUGUGACCACAAUGCACAAAAUAGCUAACAUGCCAUGGAAAUGCAGUUAGGGGGAGUGGGGUGGGCCCCAGGAGACUCAUGAGGCCAGGUGCAUUGGGCCUUGGUGCUCCUGCCUCUAACUCCCAAGCUCAUUGUGACUGGUUGCUGUAUACAUGAUUGC